rnacentral:rRNA from 1 species
AUGACAAAUGGCUCUUGCUCAAAACACGAGCCCGGAGCCCUGGAGCUUCUCCUGGACGAUGCGGUCGAGCUUCUCCCCCAUCUCGCGGCUCAUGUGGUUCGCCCAGUCCCCAACCUCUCCCUUUCUAUAGAACACGGAGUUAUCAACGUGAACUCUAUUCCCAUGGCUGACGCCGCCGACCUGGUUCACCUCCAGGCCAGUGAGCGUCUCGAAGCUGCACAUCCUCGCCACCUCCUCCGCGACGCCGGACCUCUCCUCCUCCUCGGUCAGCGGGACGCCGAGGAAGCUCGCGAGCCUCCUCACGACCCGCGCCGGGUCCGACUUGAUCUCCUCGUACUUGAGGAAGAGGACUGUGUCCGGCCUAGCCACGCUCUCCUCCCAGUACUCCAGGCAGUGGUCCCAGAAGGGGCCGUAGGGCGAGAACCCCUCGCAGAACAUGUCGUAGGCGUCGUCCAUGGACAGGCCGGCGCCGCCGGCCCGCGCCACCAGCUUGUUCUCGAAGUGCAGCCUGGAGACGAGCGUGUCCUUGGGGUCCCGGCACAGGUACACGACCCGGCAGCCCAGCGACCGCGUCUCCGGCCUGAGCAGCGACAUGGGCAUGUGCGUUGCGAGGAGCCUCGGGGACGGGAGCGUGUCGGUGUCGACGUGUCCCCCGCCAGCGCCGGGGAUCUCGAUGAACGGCACGAGGUGCUGUGCGUGGCGGGUGAGGAGCGGGUGGUCGGCGGCGCCGAGGCCGUGGCGGGACCGCGUGGCGACGGUGAAGGCGAGGGCCUUGAGCCAGGUGGUGCCGCACUUGGGCUGCGUGGCAAGGACGACGUCGUCUGCGCGGGGCAGGAAGGCUCGUCUGGUGCGCAGGACCCCCUCCAGCAUCCCCGGCUUGAACCAGUAGCCCUUGUACUGGAUGAGCGUCUGCGGCCACCCCUCCCUUGA